AUUGAACGCUGGCGGCAUGCUUUACACAUGCAAGUCGAACGGCAGCGCGGGCUUCGGCCUGGCGGCGAGUGGCGAACGGGUGAGUAAUACAUCGGAACGUGCCCCGUAGUGGGGGAUAGCUCGGCGAAAGCCGGAUUAAUACCGCAUACGACCUGAGGGUGAAAGCGGGGGAUCUUCGGACCUCGCGCUAUUGGAGCGUCCGAUGGCAGAUUAGCUAGUUGGUGGGGUAAAGGCCUACCAAGGCGACGAUCGGUAGCUGGUCUGAGAGGACGACCAGCCACACUGGGACUGAGACACGGCCCAGACUCCUACGGGAGGCAGCAGUGGGGAAUUUUGGACAAUGGGCGAAAGCCUGAUCAAGCAAUGCCGCGUGUGUGAUGAAGGCCUUCGGGUUGUAAAGCACUUUUGGCGGGAACGAAAAGGACUGUGCCAAUACCACGGUUCGAUGACGGUACCCGCAGAAUAAGCACCGGCUAACUACGUG
rnacentral:rRNA from 1 species